UUUCCGUAGGUGAACCUGCGGAAGGAUCAUUAUCGAGUUCAUUUUGAUUCUUUUUCGGAAUCAAAAUAACACACACAAUUCCCUGCGAAAUGUUACACCAAAAAGUGAAUGUCUUGUCGGUGAUUCACAUCGCUGACAGCAUUCAAUUUUUAAUACAAAACAAUACACACUCACACAAGCUGAUUGGAUGUUUCAAUGAACAACAAACAAAAAACAAAUCCAUAACAACUUUUAACAACGGAUAUCUUGGCUCUC
rnacentral:misc_RNA from 1 species